CAGUCGCCACGGUAAUACGUAGGUGGCAAGCGUUGUCCGGAAUUAUUGGGCGUAAAGGGCUCGCAGGCGGUUUCUUAAGUCUGAUGUGAAAGCCCCCGGCUCAACCGGGGAGGGUCAUUGGAAACUGGGAAACUUGAGUGCAGAAGAGGAGAGUGGAAUUCCACGUGUGGCGGUGAAAUGCGUAGAGAUGUGGAGGAACACCAGUGGCGAAGGCGACUCUCUGGUCUGUAACUGACGCUGAGGAGCGAAAGCGUGGGGAGCGAACAGGAUUAGAUACCCCUGUAGUCCCUGUCUCUUAUAC
rnacentral:rRNA from 1 species